UAAGGAAUAUUGGUCAAUGGAGGCAACUCUGAACCAGCCAUGCCGCGUGAAGGAUGAAGGUCCUCUGGAUUGUAAACUUCUUUUAUGUGGGAAGAAACCCUUGUUUUUUAAUAAGGUUGACGGUACCAUAGGAAUAAGCACCGGCUAACUCCGUGCCAGCAGCCGCGGUAAUACGGAGGGUGCGAGCGUUAUCCGGAUUCACUGGGUUUAAAGGGUGCGUAGGUGGGAAUGUAAGUCAGUGGUGAAAUCUCUGAGCUUAACUCAGAAACUGCCAUUGAUACUAUGUUUCUUGAAUUUUCUGGAGGUCAGCGGAAUAUGUCAUGUAGCGGUGAAAUGCUUAGAUAUGACAUAGAACACCAAUUGCGAAGGCAGCUGGCUACAGGGAUAUUGACACUGAGGCACGAAAGCGUGGGGAUCAAACA
rnacentral:rRNA from 1 species